rnacentral:rRNA from 1 species
UCCGGAUAAUCAAGGCUGAGGUGUGAUGACGAGGCACUACGGUGCUGAAGUAACAAAUGCCCUGCUUCCAGGAAAAGCCUCUAAGCAUCAGGUAACAUCAAAUCGUACCCCAAACCGACACAGGUGGUCAGGUAGAGAAUACCAAGGCGCUUGAGAGAACUCGGGUGAAGGAACUAGGCAAAAUGGUGCCGUAACUUCGGGAGAAGGCACGCUGGUGUGUAGGUGAAGCCCCUGCGGGUGGAGCUGAGACCAGUCGAAGAUACCAGCUGGCUGCAACUGUUUAUUAAAAACACAGCACUGUGCAAACACGAAAGUGGACGUAUACGGUGUGACGCCUGCCCGGUGCCGGAAGGUUAAUUGAUGGGGUUAUCCGUAAGGAGAAGCUCUUGAUCGAAGCCCCGGUAAACGGCGGCCGUAACUAUAACGGUCCUAAGGUAGCGAAAUUCCUUGUCGGGUAAGUUCCGACCUGCACGAAUGGCGUAAUGAUGGCCAGGCUGUCUCCACCCGAGACUCAGUGAAAUUGAACUCGCUGUGAAGAUGCAGUGUACCCGCGGCAAGACGGAAAGACCCCGUGAACCUUUACUAUAGCUUGACACUGAACAUUGAGCCUUGAUGUGUAGGAUAGGUGGGAGGCUUUGAAGCGUGGACGCCAGUCUGCGUGGAGCCAACCUUGAAAUACCACCCUUUAAUGUUUGAUGUUCUAACGUUGGCCCCUGACCGGGGUUGCGGACAGUGUCUGGUGGGUAGUUUGACUGGGGCGGUCUCCUCCCAAAGCGUAACGGAGGAGCACGAAGGUUAGCUAAUCCUGGUCGGACAUCAGGAGGUUAGUGCAAUGGCAUAAGCUAGCUUGACUGCGAGCGUGACGGCGCGAGCAGGUGCGAAAGCAGGUCAUAGUGAUCCGGUGGUUCUGAAUGGAAGGGCCAUCGCUCAACGGAUAAAAGGUACUCCGGGGAUAACAGGCUGAUACCGCCCAAGAGUUCAUAUCGACGGCGGUGUUUGGCACCUCGAUGUCGGCUCAUCACAUCCUGGGGCUGAAGUAGGUCCCAAGGGUAUGGCUGUUCGCCAUUUAAAGUGGUACGCGAGCUGGGUUUAGAACGUCGUGAGACAGUUCGGUCCCUAUCUGCCGUGGGCGCUGGAGAAUUGAGGGGGGCUGCUCCUAGUACGAGAGGACCGGAGUGGACGCAUCACUGGUGUUCGGGUUGUCAUGCCAAUGGCACUGCCCGGUAGCUAAAUGCGGAAGAGAUAAGUGCUGAAAGCAUCUAAGCACGAAACUUGCCCCGAGAUGAGUUCUCCCUGAGACUUUAAGUCUCCUGAAGGAACGUUAAAGACGAUGACGUUGAUAGGCCGGGUGUGUAAGCGCAGCGAUGCGUUGAGCUAACCGGUACUAAUGAACCGUGAGGCUUAACCUU